rnacentral:rRNA from 1 species
UACGGAAGGUCCGGACGUUAUCCGGAUUUAUUGGGUUUAAAGGGUGCGUAGGCGGGCUUUUAAGUCAGCGGUAAAAAUUCGGGGCUCAACCCCGUCCGGCCGUUGAAACUGGGGGCCUUGAGUGGGCGAGAAGUAUGCGGAAUGCGUGGUGUAGCGGUGAAAUGCAUAGAUAUCACGCAGAACUCCGAUUGCGAAGGCAGCAUACCGGCGCCCGACUGACGCUGAAGCACGAAAGCGUGGGUAUCGAACAGG